rnacentral:tRNA from 1 species
GGCCGCCUGGCGAAAUGGCAUCGCGUCUGACUACGAUUGUAUUGUCAUCAGGAGAUUGCAGGUUCGACCCCUGCGGUGGUCA